AACGAACGCUGGCGGCAUGCCUAACACAUGCAAGUCGAACGAGCCCUUCGGGUCUAGUGGCGCACGGGUGCGUAACGCGUGGGAACCUGCCCUUAGGUUCGGAAUAACUCCCCGAAAGGGGUGCUAAUACCGGAUAAUGUCUUCGGACCAAAGAUUUAUCGCCUUUGGAUGGGCCCGCGUUGGAUUAGCUAGUUGGUAGGGUAAAAGCCUAACAAGGCGACGAUCCAUAGCUGGUCUGAGAGGAUGAUCAGCCACACUGGGACUGAGACACGGCCCAGACUCUUACGGGAGGCAGCAGUGGGGAAUAUUGGACAGUGGGCGAAAGCCUGAUCCAGCAAUGCCGCGUGAGUGAUGAAGGCCUUAGGGUUGUAAAGCUCUUUUACCCGGGAUGAUAAUGACAGUACCGGGAGAAUAAGCUCCGGCUAACUCCGUG
rnacentral:rRNA from 1 species